AAGAAAAGACUAUAUAGCUUGUUACUGGAGAAGUUUCUCUGAACGGUUAGAGCGCCGGAAAUCAGGAGGAGGAGGCACAGUGUUCUCGCCUGAGUGUGAAGCUGGCUCUUGGCGUCGCUUCUGCCCUGUCACUUGCCAUGGAUAGUUCAUCGUUCUUCUCUCCCUGCGGGAGAGUACCGGAGGAAGAUGCCGUCUGAGUGGU
rfam:Myotis lucifugus cont2.46830, whole genome shotgun sequence.